rnacentral:misc_RNA from 1 species
GAAAUGCGAAAAGUAAUGUGACUUGCAAUCUGUGAAUCAUCGAAUUUUUGAACGCAACUUGCACCCUUUGGUAAUCCGGAGGGUAUGCCUGUUUGAGUGUAAUAAAUAAUCAUCUACAUUAUGUAGGAAUUGAGCUAUCUAUGUGCAAGUAGUGGCUUUAAAUUAAGGAAAUGAUUAUAAAUGUAUUUGUUAUUUAUAGAUAUCCCUGAUCAUUAUCAGUGACUAAGAAAAAAAUACACCUGUAAGAUCCUUUUCUUAUCUAUGUAAUAUAUUUCUUCGAUGUAUAUACAUAAUUAUCAAAAUUGACCUCAAAUCAGGCAAGACUACCCGCUGGACUUAA